CCUUUCACUAAUAGUAACUGGUCAUCAGGGAAAGUAAAGUCUCUCAGAAGAAUCAAAAUUGGUAUUUCUUGUUUGCCCUACUAAACCAAAUACAAUGCUACUUAAAAAUCAUCAGCUAUUACAUAUUAUGAAAAUUCAUUUGCUUGCAGAAAAGAACACAUCUGGUCAACUCGCUUCCUUUUUCUAAACAUAGAAGAAAAGGCGUUAUCUCCACAGACAGGGAAGGAAACAAUUCAUGUCUCAUGAAUUCAGCUCUGCUCAGCAAACUCACUGGUUAAUUAAAAUAAACAGCACAAAAAGGGUACAUUUUGGUCAAUCAAUUGCCUGCAACCACAGGAGAAUUCUGAAAUACAAAAGGCUGUAUGUUUUACUUAGCUGAAACCAGAAUGUUGUUCUUUUAUCAUUAUUUCGCAGACGUGUCAUUUGAGGACAAUCCUCACAAUACUCGGUAGUAUACGCGUAGCUGCUUUCAAAAGGAGUGGCAACAUUAUUCUAUUUAACGCUUUCAUUUUAUUUAAAAAGACUGACUUUGUUCUAUGUAAAGAUCCCAGCACUGAACCAGAUGGCCAUUAUGGUUUUUGAAUUUUAAAAAUAAAACAUUUAAGUUCUGCCUAAGAAACUAUAAUGCUAUCUGGUGUGUUUUGAGAGUCAUGAGAUUUGUU
rnacentral:lncRNA from 1 species